CAGCCGCCGCGGGAAAACGGAGGGUGCAAGCGUUAAUCGGAAUUACUGGGCGUAAAGCGUGCGUAGGUGGUGGUUUAAGUCCGUUGUGAAAGCCCUGGGCUCAACCUGGGAAUUGCAGUGGAUACUGGGUCACUAGAGUGUGGUAGAGGAUAGUGGAAUUUCCGGUGUAGCAGUGAAAUGCGUAGAGAUCGGAAGGAACAUCUGUGGCGAAGGCGACUAUCUGGGCCAACACUGACACUGAGGCACGAAAGCGUGGGGAGCAAACAGGAUUAGAUACCCCCGUAGUCCCUGUCUCUUAUAC
rnacentral:rRNA from 1 species